GCAGGAGACGGCCAGAACAAUGCAAACCGAUUCUGUUUGCUGCCGGUGGCGAAUGGCGUUCCGCUGGAAGCUACCGGACCUCCUGACUUCCUCCAACAUUUUGUGUCUGUGACUCUGCAUCUCCAACAUCUGCAGAAUCUCAUCGGGAUGGAGAGCAGAUUGCAGAGACUACAUCGGGUCUCACUGAUGUCGAGGAAAACCUGGAAAACUGGAAACAGCAGAUGACCCCAACAGGCACGAUGUUGAAAAGUUGCCUCAGAUGGAAGAUCCUCGCAGGUUAUUUUCCAACAACUUGCCCACCA